rnacentral:rRNA from 1 species
AGUGAACGCUGGCGGUAGGCCUAACACAUGCAAGUCGAACGGCAGCACAGUAAGAGCUUGCUCUUACGGGUGGCGAGUGGCGGACGGGUGAGGAAUACAUCGGAAUCUACUUUUUCGUGGGGGAUAACGUAGGGAAACUUACGCUAAUACCGCAUACGACCUACGGGUGAAAGCAGGGGAUCUUCGGACCUUGCGCGAUUGGAUGAGCCGAUGUCGGAUUAGCUAGUUGGCGGGGUAAAGGCCCACUAAGUCGACGAUCCGUAGCUGGUCUGAGAGGAUGAUCAGCCACACUGGAACUGAGACACGGUCCAGACUCCUACGGGAGGCAGCAGUGGGGAAUAUUGGACAAUGGGCGCAAGCCUGAUCCAGCCAUACCGCGUGGGUGAAGAAGGCCUUCGGGUUGUAAAGCCCUUUUGUUGGGAAAGAAAAGCAGCAGGUUAAUACCCCGCUGUUCUGACGGUAACCAAAGAAUAAGCACCGGCUAACUUCGUG